UACAGAGGUCCCAAGCGUUGUUCGGAUUCAUUGGGCGUAAAGGGUGCGUAGGUGGCGCGCUAAGUCAGGUGUGAAAUUUCGGAGCUUAACUCCGAAACUGCAUUUGAUACUGGCGUGCUUGAGGACUGGAGAGGAGACUGGAAUUUACGGUGUAGCAGUGAAAUGCGUAGAGAUCGUAAGGAAGACCAGUGGCGAAGGCGGGUCUCUGGACCGAUACUGACGCUGAGGCGCGAAAGCGUGGGGAGCAAACAGG
rnacentral:rRNA from 1 species